UCCUCCCACCUCCAGGUAUCUGCUUGUGAGAAGGCCUCUGGAAGACACCGGAAUGGCCUGAGUCCUCGUCUCUUUACCUGUAAACCUGGAGGAGCGAGGAAGUUUAUGCUUCUUGCCACUGAGACGUCUCUGCUCACCUCUGCAUACUGGGGCUAAGGUAAACCUGGAAGGAAGCACUGGACACCUCACUCUCACCCGGACAGAGGAGAGAGGCUCCAGAGAAGGUGGAUCCUACAGAUCCCUAACAGUGACAUCAGCCAGGACUCAAGGGAGAAGACACAGACCAAGAGCAGACAUAGGCUCAGAUCCCGGCCCAUCUUGAAAUUUCUCUGUCUCCUCAAGGAGCUUCCUUGGCAAAACCUAGCCUCCUCUCAGGGGCGCCAGUCAAAAGGAAGACACGUGCACUCUGAAAACAGGAUCCUGGGGGAUCUUUCCUGUUCCCCUUGUUUCUCACUCAGCCUUUGUGUUCUGAAGGAGGAGGAAGACACAAAGGACCUGGCCAGGUUCUCUGUGACUCCCACCCUGAGCUUGGCACCUUCAGGCACUGAACAUGGUCAUGCUGACCCCCAGGCAUCUCCUGGCCCCUUCAUGCCCCAGAGUUUCUGAGGAUAGGCAGCAAGGCUUCACCUGGCCUUGCUGCUGACAACUUCCCCAACAUGCAGAGAAGACCAGCUGCCUGCACCAACCACUGCUCUGCUCCAGGUGGCCACAAGGAAGGCUACAUGGGCCACGGAAAUGUGCUUGGCUCACACUGUCACCAUCACGCCCCCCUCACUUCGGAGUCAUGUUCAGUCAAACAAUGGUCACCUCUCAUGGCCCCCGCCCUGUUCAGCCCCAGGCCACUGCCUUCUGCCUCACACCCCUCAGUCACUGCUCCCACCAGUGCACCAGUGUCCCACAACCUCCUAACAACCACAUCCUACACGGCCCAUUGGUCUGGGACCCUCUUGCUAUCCUGGACAUGUUCUCAGCUGUUAAUGAGAGAAUCCAACUACGGUAGCUUCACCAAGAUGGGGUACAUUUUCUAUUUAAAUGAAGUCCCAUAGGCCAACCAAAGCCACUGUGGUGACUCCAUAGCCACUAGAGACUCAGCCUUCCUUGGCCUUUAGCUCUGCACUCCUUAGUCUGUGAUUUCACUCCGGUAUCCAAAAGGUCCAAGAUGGCUUCAGGAGCUCCAGACUUCACAUUCAAGUCC